GAAGACAGGUGAAUGGCCGCUCUUUGUUCAAAGUUCGAGGCAACCCCUUAGGGGUUUACCCUGAGCUUGUCGAAGGGAGGAAAGUCCGGACACCUUAUUGAUCUUUUUCAAUAAACGGGUGGCAGAUAACGUCUGCCCGGAGCAAUCCGAGGGACCGAUACAAAAUGGAUAGAUAGACACACGUGUAUAUCUAUUUAAUCGGCCAAGAGUGCAACAGAAACAUACCGCUUUCACCCGCCGAAGCUUUACGCGAAGGCGGGCUAGUCCACUUCUUGUGGAGAGUAAGGUUGAAAUCGUGAGGCCCGCCUUCGCGCGGGAUACCCCUCGCUUCGGCGAGGCAAAGUAAGAGCUCACGCGGCCGCGCGGCAACGCGCGGACGGGGCAAGCCCCACCCGGUGCAACCUCAAGCAAUUCCGCCUUAAAACGGAAUAGGUAGAGGGCAAGAGGCGUACGGCGACGUGCGUCCCAGAUAGAUGGCCAUUCCAGACAGAAUCCGGCUUACAGCCUGUCUUCAAAA
rnacentral:RNase_P_RNA from 1 species